GACGAACGCUGGCGGCGUGCUUAACACAUGCAAGUCGAACGAGGCCCAGUCAGUAGCAAUACUGAUGAAGGCCUAGUGGCGAACGGGUGAGUAACACGUGAGAAACCUAUCCUGGUCUCUGGGAUAACAGUCGGAAACAACUGCUAAUACCGGAUGCCGUCGGAGCGCUGCAUGGCGCACUGACGAAAGGGUUACUGGAU
rnacentral:rRNA from 1 species